rnacentral:sRNA from 1 species
AUACUUUUUAUUUUAAAUCACACACAUAUCGACACAUUAACCGGGGUGCCCUCAAGCGGGUCGGUGAAUGGGAUAUGUGGAGGCCUAAC